rnacentral:RNase_P_RNA from 1 species
AGAGUUGAACAGGCAAUCGCUGGUAAUAAUGAGAUUAUCAGAGGAAAGUCCGGGCUCCAUCGGAUAGAGUGCCAGGUAACACCUGGAGGGUGCGAACCCAUGGAAAGUGCAACAGAAAAUAUACCGCCAAAUUACUUAUGUAAUGGCAAGGUUGAAAUGGUGCGGUAAGAGCGCACCGCAUAAAUGGCAACAUUUAUGGCUUGGUAAACCCCGCUGGGAGCAAGACCAAAUAGAGAAGUAUUUGAUUAAUUUCAUAUCGUCUUUUCCGAACGAACUUCUGGGUAGGUUGCAAGAGGUAAUUGGUGACAAUUAUCCUAGAUGAAUGAUUGCUUAAACAGAACCCGGCUUAUGUUCAACUCUUACU